UCUUGCAGCUUCUUUGGGACAUGGUCUUUUUCUUUCCAUGUCAAGUCUAGCUCAUUCCUGUAUGGGCUAUACUGUUACUUAGUCUUAGUUAUCAGCCUGGCAGCCGGGAAAGGUAAUGCAGAUCCUGAGGGAGCCUGUGUUGCUUCGCACAGCAGAGGCCUCCGUAGUGUCUUCCCAUACUGGGAAUAGGAGAUGAGAGUGCUAACUCUUAAUAGAGAGAGAUGGGUGCCUCUGAAGGUUCUGAGGGUACAGAUCUCCAACUCAAUGGGUAGCUCCAGAAUAGAAAUUGCCUAUUAGAACUCUUACAAUCUACUUUAUAUAUUUGAAUAUAGAAACAAUAUUUUAAAUUAGUUACUGCCAGGAAAAAAUGAAUCAAAAAGCAUGUCAUGAUAAAUGAAUAAGAUGCUAUUGCAAUGAAUGUAUCAAUUUUGCAAAAUCAGAUUGGAGCAAGCUAUUACCAAGUAUCAGUUUCAGUUUCUUGUCAAUUUUCUCUUCUCUCUUGGAGUAACAAUAUUUUGGGAAUCCCAGAGUCUCAAAAAUAUGUGAACAGAGAUGACAAGAAGUUUGUAUGUAUGUAUGCUUGUUUGCUUUUACUACAUUGUAAGCUAUGAGGAGAAAUAAUCAAGGAAAGACACUUAGAAUGCAGCUACAAAGACAGAAAGCAAGCAGAAAUUUCAAGUUACUGUAGGACAUUCUGUGAGAACAAGUCACUAAUGACAUAAGGAAGACUGAUAGGUUCCCUACUCUGGGGUCAAUCUUGGGAUUACCUAUCCAAAAACAUUUUCAGUGAAUAUAGUGACAUUUUACCAUUGAAGCUGUAAUUUUUAUCACAUUUAAAUAGUUUGCAGUCUUCAAGAUCAACUUUCUGCACACAAUGCUCAAACUUCAUUUUUGAUUGAAGCAAUACUAUUGUUUUCAGUGAAAACUUUCGCAAUUUAUCAUGUACCAUCCUUUUAAACACACUAAGUAAAGGGAAAUGGUUUUGAGACGAGAUGUUCUCAAAAUGAAGCAGGCUGAUCCGAAGGUAGUGAGUUAUGUCAGUUGUUUGUUCCUAGUCAGUUAUAAAUCGAACUCCUGUUUCUACUUCCCCACUUCUAGCCAUUGCAUUUGACUAGUCUAAAUAUAUAACAGAAGCAGUGUUCACUAAUAAAUUCAAGAUAUAAGCACUCCCAAAGUUUUACAUGUGAUUAAUUUGGCCCCAUUUAUUAUUUUUUAAGUUGCUGCUCUGUUCACUAACAACUCAUGUAUUUUAUUGAAAUAUUUUUGUUUGCACUUUGCAAAUAGACAUAAUUUCACAAAUAUUCUCAUUGCAAAUAGUAGUAAACAAAAAUCAGUGAAAAACUAGAUCAAUAUUUGUCUUCAACGUAACGUGUGAAUACACUUUGAGCAUAUGAAAAUGUAUCCUUCAAUAAUAGAGUUCAAAAAGGUCCACUGUUUCAGUUCAAAUACCAAUUUUUGAGGCAAAACAUGUUUUGGCCAAAUCUGCAGUUCCAAAUCUUCAUCAAAUCUCCUCCUGGUCAGUAGCUUCGUUACCCACAAGGAUUCUGAAACAGAUUUUAUAGGUGGCUUUAAUUAUAUCAUUUUUUUGUU
rnacentral:lncRNA from 1 species